GAAGUGGAUAGUCUAACCUUCGGGGGGACGUUCACCACGGAGUGAUUCAUGACUGGGGUGAAGUCGUAACAAGGUAGCCCUAGGGGAACCUGGGGCUGGAUCACCUCCUUAUACGA
rnacentral:rRNA from 1 species